rnacentral:rRNA from 1 species
UGGGGAAUUUUGGACAAUGGGGGAAACCCUGAUCCAGCCAUCCCGCGUGUGCGAUGAAGGCCUUCGGGUUGUAAAGCACUUUUGGCAGGAAAGAAACGUCAUGGGUUAAUACCCCGUGAAACUGACGGUACCUGCAGAAUAAGCACCGGCUAACUACGUGCCAGCAGCCGCGGUAAUACGUAGGGUGCAAGCGUUAAUCGGAAUUACUGGGCGUAAAGCGUGCGCAGGCGGUUCGGAAAGAAAGAUGUGAAAUCCCAGGGCGCAACUUUGGAACUGCAUUUUUAACUACCGGGCUAGAGUGUGUCAGAGGGAGGUGGAAUUCCGCGUGUAGCAGUGAAAUGCGUAGAUAUGCGGAGGAACACCGAUGGCGAAGGCAGCCUCCUGGGAUAACACUGACGCUAAUGCACGAAAGCGUGGGGAGCAAACAGG